GACGGACGCUGGCGGCGUGCUUAACACAUGCAAGUCGAACGGAAAGGCCCUGCUUUUGUGGGGUGCUCGAGUGGCGAACGGGUGAGUAACACGUGAGUAACCUGCCCUUGACUUUGGGAUAACUUCAGGAAACUGGGGCUAAUACCGGAUAGGAGCUCCUGCUGCAUGGUGGGGGUUGGAAAGUUUCGGCGGUUGGGGAUGGACUCGCGGCUUAUCAGCUUGUUGGUGGGGUAGUGGCUUACCAAGGCUUUGACGGGUAGCCGGCCUGAGAGGGUGACCGGCCACAUUGGGACUGAGAUACGGCCCAGACUCCUACGGGAGGCAGCAGUGGGGAAUAUUGCACAAUGGGCGGAAGCCUGAUGCAGCAACGCCGCGCGCGGGAUGACGGCCUUCGGGUUGUAAACCGCUUUCGCCUGUGACGAAGCGUGAGUGACGGUAAUGGGUAAAGAAGCACCGGCUAACUACGUG
rnacentral:rRNA from 1 species